GAACACAGUAAACAUGAAACUUAACCACUAGGCCGUAUUCAGCUCCCCAGAGCAAAUAUUCCCAAGUAUUUGGCACAUCCAAUCCUUUGGCACUUCUUCCGUGUAGCCAUUCAGGAGCCAUGACUUUGCUGGCUCUGUUCUGGCCUCCAGUGAGCACGACAUCUGAGAGCAAAGCCUGCACAGUUUUGGCUGCUUGGAGGAAGAGCUGCUUAAUCCACCACCACCUCAGAAGCGCUG